GUGGAGAAUAUUGGACAAUGGGGGAAACCCUGAUCCAGCCAUGCCGCGUGAAUGAUGAAGGCCUUCGGGUUGUAAAGUUCUUUUGGAGGGGACGAUGAUGACGGUACCCUCAGAAUAAGCUCCGGCUAACUUCGUGCCAGCAGCCGCGGUAAUACGAAGGGAGCUAGCGUUGUUCGGAAUUACUGGGCGUAAAGGGCGCGUAGGCGGUUUGGUCAGUCAGAUGUGAAAGCCCAGGGCUUAACCCUGGAACUGCGUUUGAUACUGUCAAGCUUGAAUUCGGGAGAGGUGAGUGGAAUUCCCAGUGUAGAGGUGAAAUUCGUAGAUAUUGGGAAGAACACCAGUGGCGAAGGCGGCUCACUGGACCGACAUUGACGCUGAGGCGCGAAAGCGUGGGGAGCAAACAGGAUUAGAAACCCGAGUAGUCC
rnacentral:rRNA from 1 species